rnacentral:rRNA from 1 species
ACUGACCCUCAAAUCAGGUAGGACUACCCGC